UAUCUAACGCAAUCAGAAACAAUUGCUUUGAAUUGUCAAUAAUUAAUAAAAACCGCUGUGCAUCAAUGUCGAGCCUAUCUUCAUCAAUUCAUUCAUCUCAGCGGAUGCAUGCAGCUAAGAGGUUUUCACGAGACGCAUCACCUCAAAGCGUUAAAUAUAAAUUUUGCCGCAACUGCUACGAAACACACGAAUCACCGGAAGUCUACAAGAGUCAUUACUUACUAAAUCAGUAUGCUGAAAUUCAAUGCCCCAAAGUAAUACGUGAAGGCUGUCCUAUUUGUGGUGAACGUGGCAAAAAUGCACACAUCCCAGAAAUGUGCGAAAACAGAUUGACAACACGGACUACACAUAGAUACAAAAGUAAAAUGAGAAAGGCCGUGUCACUGCGUUUGAUACUUUUGAAAAAACUAGGUAAAAAAUGUAUGAAAGCAGUCAAACGCACGAAAAAACUGGUGCACUACACUUCGCCUGAGAUAGAUACUGAAGAGACCAGAAUCAUCGCUGAACGGGUCAAGCAAAUAAUUGAAAUGACUCAAGUUCCUGACUUUUUGAAUGAAUACAUUCCAGGCGUUCCUAUUUAGCGAAUAUAGCGAAUCAAUGUACGAUUUAUUUUUUUAAACUAGCAUGAACAUUACACAGACAAUAAAUAAAAACAAAAUAGCCUUAACAGUUAA